CAGCCGCCGCGGUAACCCCAGCGCCACAAGUGGGAACCACUUUUAUUGGGUCUAAAGCAUCCGUAGCCGGUUUGGCAAAUGCCUUGUGAAAUGGUUGCGCUCAACGUAACCACGUGCAAGGUAGACUACCAGACUAGGGACCAGGAGAGGUUGGCGGUAUUCCCGGGGGAACGGUAAAAUGUUAUAAUCCCGGGAGGACCACCGAUGGCGAAGGCAGCCAACCAGGAUGGAUCCGACGGUGAGGGAUGAAAGCUAGGGGAGCGAUCCGGAUUAGAUACCCGAGUAGUCCUAGCCGUAAACGCUGCAUGCCAGAUGUUGCACGAACUUCGGGUUCGUGCAGUGUCGUAACGAAGGUGUUAAGCAUGCCACCUGGGGAGUACGGUCGCAAGACUGAAACUUAAAGGAAUUGGCGGGGGGAGCACC
rnacentral:rRNA from 1 species